CUGACGGCCAAACGUUUCCUAGACGUUGUCGUUACUGAUAAGAAACUACAUUUCCCAGAAUGCAGUGAGGGUAGCGACCGGGCUACACAGUAGAAACAGGGUUUCACCAUGUUGGCCAUGCUGGUCUCGAACUCCAGAACUCAAGUGAUCCGUCCGCCUCGGUCUUCCAAACUGCUGGGAUUACAGGCGUGAGCCACCGCGCCCAGCCUUUGGGGAAGUUCUUUUUACCGUCCAUCAUCCAUUGCCACCACACCUUCUGCUUACGAGUUAUUUAUAAUAAGUUUAACUAAAAGAGAACGAGAGAACAUCCCCUGAAACCCAAAGUUUGUCAUUCUAUACAGCUUUCCUGCCUGCAAAAGAGGAGGAGCAGACUCAUCCAGCAAAUCACCUAAAAAGUUUGAAGAUCAAAAAGCCUAGCUCCAGUUUCAGAUCCUUCCCCUACCUUUCUGAACACUAGUUUCUUCCUCUGAAAAACGAAAGAGGGAACGGGACCGUAGAGUGGAGUGGGCACAAGAAUCGCAAGUCCCUUCUGGCUAUGACGCUGCAAGACUCUAGGUACAGUUUAGGACUCCGGGCAUUCAGAUCCCCGGGACUUGUCAAGUUCUCCUCAUUGACAUUUUUGAUAUUUCGUGACAACACAAAUUCAUCACAUUUUUGUGCUGUGUGUUAUAUGUGGGAAGGAGAUUUUAAAAAGAUUGCCUUUUGAAGUUAUUGGAUAGCUGUGUUACAGAAGAAAACAUUGCCUUCAAGAAGUUAUUGGAUAGAUAUGUUACAGAAGAAAAGACGUUUGUUUCAUUUUUGACUUUGCAGGAAAAGAAUAUGUAACACAUCAGAAUUCUUCUCUCCUCCCUGGCCUUAGUCGAGUACCUGAGGGGCAUUAAAGCACUUCCUCCUUGCAAUCACUUACCCAGCAUAGUCCUUAAUACAGAUAUCUUCAUUGUUGAAUGAAUGAA